AGACGUGUACUCUUCAGAUCCGAAAGAAUGAAGGAGGCUCUUCACCUCAACGCACGCAACCUACAGCUUCCGUGUUUACCUGCCUGGGAGACCACGAGUGUCUGAGACUCACAGCGGCUGGGAGCGAGGCGAUUGGUCAAGGGGAGGGACUUAUGACGUCUACACCAAUCCGGAGCAGGAUCCACUCCGGCAUUGGCCUCGGCUGGAUUUCCAUGAUCUCCCGAUUGGAUUAUUAGUAGGCUUAUUUGUUUUUCUUUUUUUUUCUGGUCGGCAGGGGAAGCCGACCAGUGGACAUUUCUUCUGUUAUCUGUUUGUCUGUCCGUCCGGAUUCUGCUGCUACCUAAUGCUGGACAGGAAGCACUGUGGGUGAGCUGGACAAGGAGUGUGUCGUAGUGUAACCUGAGUGGUGUGCGGUUUGUGCUUGCAUCACUUUUAUUGGCCCAUGAGUGUGUUGGUUUAUGUGUGAUACAUUUAGUGUGCAACUUGAACUAUUAUUCACUCGGCGGUUAACCUUUUUAAAAUAUGUUUUUGCUAUUU